rnacentral:rRNA from 1 species
AUGAAGACAGACCCAAAGCAUUGGGCUAGGGCUUUCUUUCCAAUAGGAGCAAAUUGUGAGUCAGUUGACAACAACCUUUGUGAAUCAUUUAACAAUGCCAUCAUAGAAGCUAGGUUCUACCCCAUUAUUUCACAGCAAGAAAAGAUUAGGAAAAAAAUGAUGGUUAGAGUUCAAGAGCAGAAAACCAAGAGUGAGAAGUGGAAUGGCAUAAUUUGCCCAAACAUCUUCAAGAAGAUUAAGGCCAAUAUCAAGAGAACUCAGUUCUUGGAGGUGCUCUGGAAUGGAAAGGAUGGUUUUGAGGUGAAGCAUUUGAAUAGCAGAGGCAGGAGGUACACCGUUAACCUUGAGAAAUGGACUUGCUCAUGUGGUUACUUUCAGCUUGCAGGCCUUCCUUGUUGUCAUGCAAUUUGUGCUAUCUAUAAGAGUGGAAGAAAAGUAGAGGAUUUCAUUGACAAGUGCUACUACAUUGAUACUUUCAAAAAAAAUUAUGAGCAUUGCUUGCAACCAGUUGAAGGAGAAGAAAGCUGGCCUGUGUCUCAAAACCCUAGGCCAGUAGCACCUGGCUACAUUGCCAUGCCAGGAGCUAGGAAAAAGAACAAUGAUAGGAAGAGAGAAGAGGGGGAAGCACCCAAGGGGAAGAAACUGAGCAAGCAUGACAUACAGAUCACAUGUGGAAGUUGUGGUGGUCAGGGGCACAACAAAACUUCCUGUAAACAGAAUGGAGAUAACACAAAAAAACAAAGUCAUAUCUUGGGAAGAGAGGGAGAAAAGUGA